rnacentral:rRNA from 1 species
UACGAAGGCGUCAAGCGUUAUCCGGAUUUAUUGGGCGUAAAGGGUCUUCAGGUGGUUUUGUUAGUCCGAUGUUAAAUCCCGGUGCCCAACGCCGGGGCCGCAUCGGAAACGGCAAAACUCGAGGUGCGGAGAGGUAAGCGGAACUCACGGUGUAGCGGUGAAAUGCGUUGAUAUCGUGGGGAACACCAAAGGCGAAGGCAGCUUACUGGCCGUAUCCUGACACUCAUAAGACGAAAGCGUGGGGAGCGAAUAGG